UACGUAGGGUGCAAGCGUUAAUCGGAAUUACUGGGCGUAAAGCGUGCGCAGGCGGUUCGUUAAGUCAGAUGUGAAAGCCCCGGGCUCAACCUGGGAACUGCAUUUGAAACUGGCGGGCUUGAGUGUGGCAGAGGGGGGUGGAAUUCCGCGUGUAGCAGUGAAAUGCGUAGAGAUGCGGAGGAACACCGAUGGCGAAGGCAGCCCCCUGGGCCAACACUGACGCUCAGGCACGAAAGCGUGGGGAGCAAGCAGG
rnacentral:rRNA from 1 species